rnacentral:rRNA from 1 species
GUGGGGAAUAUUGGACAAUGGGCGCAAGCCUGAUCCAGCCAUGCCGCGUGAGUGAUGAAGGCCUUAGGGUUGUAAAGCUCUUUCAGUGGGGACGAUAAUGACGGUACCCACAGAAGAAGCCCCGACUAACUUCGUGCCAGCAGCCGCGGUAAUACGAAGGGGGCUAGCGUUGUUCGGAUUUACUGGGCGUAAAGCGCACGUAGGCGGAUCGUUAAGUCGGGGGUGAAAUCCUGGAGCUCAACUCCAGAACUGGCUUCGAUACUGGCGAUCUUGAGUCCGGAAGAGGUGAGUGGAACUCCUAGUGUAGAGGUGGAAUUCGUAGAUAUUAGGAAGAACACCAGUGGCGAAGGCGGCUCACUGGUCCGGUACUGACGCUGAGGUGCGAAAGCGUGGGGAGCAAACAGGAUUAGAAACCCGGGUAGUCC